ensembl:lncRNA
ACAGCUAGCCAUCUUUCUGCUGGAUUACGGUAGGGAAUGUCUACUCCCAGCAAGGGACAUGCACAGCCACCACCGCCGCCUGUAUCUAGUAUUUCAGAAGAGUCCGACCGAGAUGGGUGUAUCUUAGAACUGCGUUUCUAAACCAGCCAUGCAGGACAUUGUAAGUUGUGACUGACUUAUUUAUCUUUUGAAUCAGGGACAAAGAAUUCGCUAUGCAAGGUGUUCAACCGUUGGGCAAAGAAACCGAAGCGGUUGGUGUGCUAGAAUCUAGCAUGCACUCCUUGAGCAUUGCUGAAGAGGAGCAGCAUGACUCUGGAUGAGGAGGAGGCGAAUUAUAUGAGGAAUAGCAUUAUUGACAUGGAUGAUUGCUGGGAGGAUCCUAAUCAGAAGGGCUUUGAAGGAGAUCGGGACAGC